rnacentral:rRNA from 1 species
GACGAACGCUGGCAGCGUGCUUAACACAUGCAAGUCGAACGGAAAGGCCCUGCUUUUGUGGGGUGCUCGAGUGGCGAACGGGUGAGUAACACGUGAGUAACCUGCCCUUGACUUUGGGAUAACUUCAGGAAACUGGGGCUAAUACCGGAUAGGAGCUCCUGCUGCAUGGUGGGGGUUGGAAAGUUUCGGCGGUUGGGGAUGGACUCGCGGCUUAUCAGCUUGUUGGUGGGGUAGUGGCUUACCAAGGCUUUGACGGGUAGCCGGCCUGAGAGGGUGACCGGCCACAUUGGGACUGAGAUACGGCCCAGACUCCUACGGGAGGCGGCAGUGGGGAAUAUUGCACAAUGGGCGGAAGCCUGAUGCAGCAACGCCGCGUGCGGGAUGACGGCCUUCGGGUUGUAAACCGCUUUCGCCUGUGACGAAGCGUGAGUGACGGUAAUGGGUAAAGAAGCACCGGCUAACUACGUG